AAACCUGGCAAUAAAACGAACAGUCGUUACAACCCGGAGGUAUGCAUACGGUCAGAUGGCUUUAUUAUCGGGUUUCUUAUGUAGCAUUUUCAAUCUGCCGUAGCCCAGCCUUCUCAGCCAGAGCUUCACAUGGAUCGUAUUAAAAGAGGUCGGAGCAGAGGAAAAGCGCUUCUGAAGGUUACCCAAGCCCAUGCCUAUUUUUAAGCAGGCAACUAGCUACAUACACCACUUCCUUGUUUCAGUAGGUUGUCAACGCAAAGCCGUAAAGAUGCUAGAUGUGAUUUCUUGACCCAAGUGAGAAGAGGAAAUAACGGUCCGGCUGGUUUGAGUCAGGGUGCGGGGAAGGAGGGGAGUUCUUGGGUGUCUCUGAGCCCUACAAAAGCUUUGAACAUAACUGCAAGUCACCACCGCAGCUUCAGCAGCCCGGAGCAGAGGGAGAGGAGUGAUUGGAAACAAAACUCUCAGCGAAUUCGGCUGACACGAGCCUCUCCCUUCUCUUCCAGGAACCGAGGAAGCUGCCUUUCUCAAACGUGCUCAAUGUGACGACUUCAGACCCAUUUUUUUCCUGGCUUCUGGGCAUCCUCUAACCUAAGUGAAGCUGGCAGCAGCAGCUCAGCUUCUGGGGAAAGCAAGGAGCAGGCCCAAGUUGCAUCUCAAGAAACUGCGACAAGGACUAAAAAAAGUCCUCCCAAGCAGGAAUCAGGAGGGUGCAGGUAGAAGAGAGAACAGCCCAGCUCCUGCUGGGCAGCUGGAGACUGAAAAGAAAACCUUGCUAAGCCUUUGCUGGAGCCUUCCCUCUCUCACCAUUGCCAACAUUAAAAAAAAUAAAUAAAUAAAA